AGCGAACGCUGGCGGCAGGCUUAACACAUGCAAGUCGAACGGGCACUUCGGUGCUAGUGGCAGACGGGUGAGUAACACGUGGGAACGUACCUUUCGGUUCGGAAUAAUUCAGGGAAACUUGGACUAAUACCGGAUACGCCCUUUUGGGGAAAGAUUUUUCGCCGAGAGAUCAGCCCAGCGUCUGAUGAGCUAGUUGGUGAGGUAAAGGCUCACCAAGGCGACGAUCAGGAGCUGGUUUGAGGGGAUGAUCAGCCACAUUGGGACUGAGACACGGCCCAACCUCCUACGGGAGGCAGCAGUGGGGAAUAUUGGACAAUGGGCGCAAGCCUGAUCCAGCCAUGCCGCGUGAGUGAUGAAGGCCUUAGGGUUGUAAAGCUCUUUUGUCCGGGAAGAUAAUGACUGUACCGGAAGAAUAAGCCCCGGCUAACUUCGUGCCAGCCGCCGCAGUAAGAC
rnacentral:rRNA from 1 species